UACGGGGGGGGCAAGCGUUGUUCGGAAUUACUGGGCGUAAAGGGCUCGUAGGCGGCCAACUAAGUCAGACGUGAAAUCCCCAGGCUCAACCUGAGAACUGCGUCUGAUACUGGAUGGCUUGAAUCCGGGAGAGGGAUGCAGAAUUCCAGGUGUAGCGGUGAAAUGCGUAGAUAUCUGGAGGAAUACCGGUGGCGAAGGCGGCAUCCUGGACCGGCAUUGACGCUGAGGAGCGAAAGCUAGGGGAGCAAACGGG
rnacentral:rRNA from 1 species